rnacentral:lncRNA from 12 species
CCCUGAGGGAAGAGCAGCAGUUAUUCCAGCUCUCCUACUCUCCAUCAAUCACAAAGCCAGCAGCCAUCACAGGUGUUUUACCUCCCUUCAGCAGGAUGCUGCUUUGGGAUCUCGAGGAUGCAGAGCAGAGUAAUUCUAUGCAGCAGUGACUGGCAGAAGUUUGGAAUUCCUCUUUGCAGGCUCCUUUCCCCA